GUGAGGAAUUUUCCGCAAUGGGCGAAAGCCUGACGGAGCAAUGCCGCGUGAAGGAUGAAGGCCUAUGGGUUGUAAACUUCUUUUCUCAGAAAAGAAUUAUGACGGUAUCUGAGGAAUAAGCAUCGGCUAACUCUGUGCCAGCAGCCGCGGUAAGACAGAGGAUGCAAGCGUUAUCCGGAAUGAUUGGGCGUAAAGCGUCUGUAGGUUGUUUAAAAAGUAUUCUGUCAAAGAUUAGGGCUUAACCCUAGAUAGGCAGAAUAAACUUUUAAGCUAGAGUGUGGUAGAGGCAGAGGGAAUUCCCGGUGGAGCGGUGAAAUGCGUAGAUAUCGGGAGGAACACCAAAGGCGAAGGCACUCUGCUGGGCCAAUACUAACACUGAGAGACGAAAGCGAGGGGAGCAAAUGGGAUUAGAUACCCGAGUAGUCC
rnacentral:rRNA from 1 species